rnacentral:rRNA from 1 species
GAUGAACGCUGGCGGCGUGCCUAAUACAUGCAAGUCGAGCGAACGGACGAGAAGCUUGCUUCUCUGAUGUUAGCGGCGGACGGGUGAGUAACACGUAGAUAACCUACCUAUAAGACUGGGAUAACUUCGGGAAACCGGAGCUAAUACCGGAUAAUAUUUUGAACCGCAUGGUUCAACAGUGAAAGACGGUCUUGCUGUCACUUAUAGAUGGAUCCGCGCUGCAUUAGCUAGUUGGUAAGGUAACGGCUUACCAAGGCAACGAUGCAUAGCCGACCUGAGAGGGUGAUCGGCCACACUGGAACUGAGACACGGUCCAGACUCCUACGGGAGGCAGCAGUAGGGAAUCUUCCGCAAUGGGCGAAAGCCUGACGGAGCAACGCCGCGUGAGUGAUGAAGGUCUUCGGAUCGUAAAACUCUGUUAUUAGGGAAGAACAUAUGUGUAAGUAACUGUGCACAUCUUGACGGUACCUAAUCAGAAAGCCACGGCCAACUACGUG